rnacentral:rRNA from 1 species
ACAUCCAGAGAACUUAGCAGAGAUGCUUUGGUGCCUUCGGGAACUCUGAGACAGGUGCUGCAUGGCUGUCGUCAGCUCGUGUUGUGAAAUGUUGGGUUAAGUCCCGNAACGAGCGCAACCCCUAUCCUUUGUUGCCAGCGAUUCGGUCGGGAACUCAAAGGAGACUGCCGGUGAUAAACCGGAGGAAGGUGGGGAUGACGUCAAGUCAUCAUGGCCCUUACGAGUAGGGCUACACACGUGCUACAAUGGCGCAUACAAAGAGAAGCGACCUCGCGAGAGCAAGCGGACCUCAUAAAGUGCGUCGUAGUCCGGAUUGGAGUCUGCAACUCGACUCCAUGAAGUCGGAAUCGCUAGUAAUCGUAGAUCAGAAUGCUACGGUGAAUACGUUCCCGGGUCUUGUACACACCGCCCGUCACACCAUGGGAGUGGGUUGCAAAAGAAGUAGAUAGCUUAACCUUCGGGAGGGCGUUUACCACUUUGUGAUUCAUGACUGGGGUGAAGUCGUAACAAGGUAGGCGUACGUGU